rnacentral:sRNA from 1 species
CUCACUGCUAGGGGCUUAAGUGGAGGGAGUCGAGCCAGCGUCGCCGCGAUGGUGUUGUUGGAGAGCGAGCAGUUCCUGACGGAGCUGACCAGACUUUUCCAGAAGUGCCGGACGUCGGGCAGCGUCUAUAUCACCUUGAAGAAGUAUGACGGUCGAACCAAACCCAUUCCAAAGAAAGGUACUGUGGAGGGCUUUGAGCCCGCAGACAACAAGUGUCUGUUAAGAGCUACCGAUGGGAAGAAGAAGAUCAGCACUGUGGGAGAAAACCCAAUGCCACCUUUCUAAGGGAUUUCAAGAGGUGAGCUCCAAGGAAGUGAAUAAGUUUCAGAUGGCUUAUUCAAACCUCCUGAGAGCUAACAUGGAUGGGCUGAAGAAGAGAGACAAAAAGAACAAAACUAAGAAGACCAAAGCAGCAGCAGCAGCAGCAGCACCUGCCGCAGCAGCAACAGCAGCAACAACAGCAGCAACAGCAGCAACAGCAGCACAGUAAAGGGCAUACAUUUCCUGCUUUCACCAAUUAACCACUGAAUUGCUAUUUUUUCCUUUUGGCCAGAUAGCUAGGUUUCUGGUUCCCCCACAGUAGGUGUUUUCACAUAAGAUUAGGGUCCUUUUGGAAAGAAUAGUUGCAGUGUUUAUAGGAUAGUUGUGGUAAGAAUCUAGUUUAUUUUGCAUUUGGCUAAUUGGUCUGUGCUGCAUGGUUAUAUACUCCUGGAUUAUAGAUUACAAGUCUCUGUAGACAUCUCUGUGAAGAGCAAGCUAUCAUUAAACAUGUCUGUUUAUCA